GCCUGUGCUCAGUCGGUUGAGCGUCUGACUUUGGCUCAGGUCACGAUCUCACAGUUUGUGGGUUUGAGCCCCACAUUGGGCU
rnacentral:tRNA from 1 species